rnacentral:tRNA from 1 species
GGAGGUAUGGCUCAGUGGUAGAGCACAUGCUUAGCAGGCACAAAGUCCUGGGUUCAAUCCCCAGUACUUCCA